UACGUAGGGGGCAAGCGUUGUCCGGAUUUAUUGGGCGUAAAGAGCGUGUAGGCGGUUUGGUAGGUCCGCUGUGAAAACUCGAGGCUCAACCUCGAGACGCCGGUGGAAACCAUCAGACUAGAGUCCGGAAGAGGAGAGUGGAAUUCCUGGUGUAGCGGUGAAAUGCGCAGAUAUCAGGAAGAACACCCGUGGCGAAGGCGGCACUCUGGGACGGUACUGACGCUGAGACGCGAAAGCGUGGGGAGCGAACAGG
rnacentral:rRNA from 1 species